GUUAUCACUUCGCUCUAUGGUUGCUGGUGCUGAGAAAUGCCUCUAUGACAUUUUCAUUGUUAAAAAUGGACUAUGGAAACAAGAUCAGUCAACAUGUGUGAGUGCACCUUCACCAAUCCCACAAAUGCCUCUGCCCUCACGAAUUUAUUACCCUUGGGAGAGCCUCAGCAAGACAGUACUUGAUGCAUUGGAAGCAGACAAUGUUCUGCUUCCCUCUCAACGACAGGAAGUGGCACACAUGGAAGCGUCAUGACCCUGCAUAUCCAUUGAAGGCACCUGGUUGGUAUCAUUGAGAACGAAGGGAGCCAGCAGGCAUAAAAAAAUCAAGAGGGCUACAUACAUAAAUGCGUGAGGCAAUGAGGGCCGCAGAAGCAAG